ensembl:lncRNA
CAAACAGUAAUGCAGGACGACACGAGCGCCUUGGACAUGUAUUCUUGCAAAACGAAGCGAAUCACGGGGAUCUGGGCCUGGUCGGGUGUCUGUAGUAGUUUAUCCCUCCCGUCCGACUCAUUGAAGAACUCUUCGUCCAGCUUGAGGUGAGCAAUUGCAGUUCUGAUGUCCAGAAACUCUUUUCGGUCAUAAGAGACAGUAGCAGCAACAUUAUGUACAAAACAAGUUACGAACGAGUUACGAAAAAUAGCAUGGUUGGUUGGAGCCGAUAAGACAGCAGCCCUCCCCUCCGGCGCCAUCGUUGUAUCAAUCAUGACUGAAUACAUUUUGUUUUUUGGUAAUCAGAUUACAUGUAAUCAGUUACUCCCCAACCCUUCCUAUAGCCUUAUCAUAUUGUUAAAACUCCCAGGUGUCCAUUUCAUCUAGUUAAUCCCUGUUGUGUCUAUGAUCUGUCUCUCAUCAAAUUUGGUCUUACUGAGUGUGGAUUUUCCUCUAAAACUCCUUUCUUUCCCGUAGGAUUCACUCAGGAAUGCGAUUUUAGUGCUGAGUUACUGUACCUGUGAACAAAUGUGUGUUCUCAGAACACAUCUGCCAUCCUGAUGUGUCAGUAGUUACCUCUGACUCACACCAUAGGAGUUGUGUUUUACCAGACACCCCCGGUCCUCACCCCUCUCAUGCCAUGUUUCCCUUGAUUACUUAUGAAUUUAUCUUGAUUAUUUAUAAACAUUCUAAACUGAUUGUGGAAUGUUGAGAUCUAGCUACUCACACUGCUUGCUGUGCUUGGUGUAUUGAUUGGUUUGUGUUAAGGAAAACAAUCCUAGAUGCCGUGCCUACCUUAUGGCUCCAGGCAUCAACUCGCCACUUCCCUCCAAGAGGACACCCAGCUGUCCCUGUUGGUAAACCCAGCUGUUCCUGCUGGUAAACCCAACUGUUCCUGUCUGUCUCUCCAUUUUUCCUCUCAAUCUCUGUCUUGCUCCUUAUCCCCAUGUUUUUUUAGACUGUUGAAUGGCACAUUGUUAAGAAUUUAGGUCAAAUUUUGGUAAACCACCUCCCUUUGGUCAAUAACAAUGUCCUCUUCAGUGCAGAUUAAGUUAAAUGAAUAAGAAUGGAGUGGAUUCAUGUGAUGGGCUGGGUCAGACUGUCAGUGUCAAUACACAGUGAAUCUUUACUGUGACAGUUGUUUGUUUAAGAGGCGCCUCUGUGUCUCUCAAUAGGAGGUCACACAGGGGGAACUUCACACUAGUAUGAGCAAACAGGACCGCCUCAGUUCCAUGACUGGAACCUAUGUGAAAUGUGUGAACUAUAUAUACAAAAGUGUGUGGACACCUCUUCAAAUAGUGGAUUAAGCAAUUUAAACCACACCCAUUGCUGACAGGUGUAUACUAUUGAGCACACAGCCAUGUAGUCUCCAUAGACAAACAUUGGCAGAAUAAUGGCCUUACUGAAGAGCUCAGUAACUUUCAACUUAGCACUGUCAUAGGACGCCACCUUUCCAACAAGUCAGUUAGUCAAAUGUCUGCCCUGCUAGAGCUGCCCCGGUCAACUGUAAGCGCUAUUAUUGUGAAGUACAAACGUUUAGGAGCAACAACGGCUGAGCUGCAAGGUGGUAGGCUGACUGCUGAAGCGCGUAGUGCGUAAAAAUCGUUUGUCCUCGGAUACAACACUCACUACCAAGUUCCAAACUGCAUCUGGAAGCAACGUCUGCACAAUAACUGUUUGUUGGGAGCUUCAUGAAAUGGGUUUCAAUGGCCCAGAAACUGCACACAAGCCUAAGAUCACCAUGCGCAAUGCCAAGCAUUGACUGGAGUGGUGUAAAGCUUGCCGCCAUUGGACUCUGGAGCAGUGGAAACACGUUCUCUGGAGUGACUCCAUGUGAAUGCCC